CAGCUAAACCAAAAUAUCUUAGAUAAGCUACUUUAUAUUCUGUGGGCCUAUUCCCUGAUGUUUGUGAAAUUAGGCUAGUGUUAUGAUUCUCUUAUGGUUUUGAAGAUGAGUAAAUGACUAAAUAAUAAAGCGUUUUAGGCCCGAAGCUCUGCCUUUAUUUGUUCUUUUUGUCAUCAGAACCUUCAGUUGCUGGCUAAAGAAUUAUGAUAAUUAGGCCUAUGAUGCGAUAGUUGGUGCGUCAGCUUGUCAAUCAAGAGCCCAACAUUCCUUGACGAUGGGUUUAAUUUUAUCAUCUGUGUCAACACAUUUUGAGAUCAUUUUGACACGUAGUGCCUUCCAUCCAUUUCAAUGGGGAAAUGCGCGUUGCUGGGAGAAAAAACAACAGUAACUAAGGCUCCACUAUGACGUCACAAAGCAUGCAGUUAAAAAAUAGAGUCUUGUGUAUUUUGGUUCAGUCAUCGAUAUGGAUGUGUAUGAAGAAGUAGGUGUACCGGAGUUCGGUGCUCCUUGGCCCGCCAUGACGAUGCCCGACCAAGGAGUGAUUGACCAAUUUACCAUUUUCUUCGCGCUUUUUCUUGGAGGACUAAAGGAUUUUCUCUUCUCUCUAGAAGAGGAAUGGCUUGGAGCAACCCAUCCUGGAGUGGGAUGGGAGCUCACUCUCCCUGCUGCCCUGAUUUGUUUUGGUGUGAUAUUACUAUGGAGGACCGUCCUUGCGAUCAAAAGCAGGAUACGUCUAUUGACUGAGACACAGCUAAACGUGAAACUCGCCCAGCUAUCGAAAAAGAAAUGUGACAUAAUGAUUCAAUUGUCUGAAAUGGAGAUACUGUUGAAGGAUUAUGACGCGCCAGUGAAAAAGUUGCGGGCGUGCCUGCAGUCCUCUCAGGAGGAUAGUCAGGAGCUGGAGGAUAUGAAGAAACGAUGGGACAUCAGAGCUGGAGAAAUGGAGGCAUUUCAUCUACAACUCCAGGAGCGUGUUGAACGCAUAAAGAAACUGAAAGCUGUUUGGGGACUGAUGGAACCACUUAAAGAGCAUCACGGUGCCAGGAUCCCUAGUACCACCAACACCCAAUCUACCGAUAUCAAGAGUGAGGAAAACAUUGAGAUCGAGGUCACUGUGAGGAAGGAUGCAACCUUAAUCAAAACCACACUGGAGGAGGUGAACAGGGGUCUUCGGGACAAAAAUUGGCAGCUUGAAGAGAAGAAUGCCGCUCUACAUCAAAAACUCCAUAGCACUGAGAAGAUGUAUAGACAGACUCUAAACGAGCUGACUAAAGCCCUGAUUCAAGGCAAAUAUGAGGAAAAGCAACAUAUUGACACGCUACAAGACAAAAUCCAGACCAUAUCGCGGAAAGCCUCUGCUGCGGAGCAUGCUCUGGCCAUGGAGAAGAAUGAGGCAGCGCUACUCCACCAGAGGAUUCUUCAACUAACCUCAAAGAAGCUGAAAAUAGGAAAACCUGGGUUCCUGAGCAAGACCAUCCCCAAGCCCCCGAAAACAACCAAGACCAACAAGACCAUCUUGAAAACCUGCAAAAUUCUGAAAGCUUUCAAAGCACUAAUGAAGAUAUGAAGGCAAUGCAUACAAUUGUACAUUUGGUGCAAUUAUUCUCAGGACACUGGGUGAGGCAGAGUACAAUAAAUAAAUCCAGAUGCCUUAUUCCAUCAAACAACUGCAAGAAGUCUUCUUUAAAAUAAACCAAGCUAAAUUAGACAUGUGUUUUAUGUAAUUUAUAUGGUAGGUCUCAUUAGAUAUCAUCCAACUCUUUAAAAAUUCCUUUGUAUGCAGAUUUCUGCUCUGUUGCCAUUAGGUAAGAUACAACUCCAUGGGGCUUACCUGCCAAGACCUCCAUGGAAGCCACAUAUCCCAUCAAUUACCAAAGCCAAAUGGUAGGCCUAUGAUGAAGUCUAUUAUCUAGGUCUCCAGGGCUAUUGUGGCGACGGGAAACCCCCACGUGAAGGUCGAUUUGUCCUCACUUUGCAACCCAGACUCUCUUUAGGAACCUGAGCUGCCCAGGAAACCAAAACAUCUGGACAUUUUAACAGCCGUAGAUGGUUCACUUGAAUGCUUUGCGCAGAAGCACGAGAAGGACGAGAGUGGACGAAUAGAUGUCCAUUGGAUAGCCAUGAUCAUAUUGGCAUCGUGUUUUCACAAGGACAUAGGUCAUGAUUUGGAAUUGUCAAACUGGAAGGCCUAAUGCCAUUUUCGCGUUUCUAUUUCCUUACUGAUAGCCAGCAAACAUGAUCAUUAAUGCAAAGUAGGGCUUGCUAUUGGUUAAUAGUUCAAUGCAAAAAAUACCAGAAAGGCAUAUUGAUCAUAUCCGACGAUGGCUUGUAUUCAAUGUGGAUAUACAUUAUAGUGCCCAACAAUGUUUCAACCAUGCUACAGGCGUUGUGUAGCCUGUUAUGAUAAUGCUGCCUAUAGAAAAAACACAUUAAUGACUGACUAGUACUAGCCUAUUCCUCCACAAUAUGUCGCUGUGUUACCAUUUUCCCUCCCUUUCUUUCCCUCCCCUCCAACCAUGGUCCUGCGUAGACUGCGGAUGAGUUCAUGCAAUUCUGGAGGUUAUUCUCCUAGAUUUCUCUCCUUGGUCUGGUCUAGCUAGACCUGUGGCAGGGGCCAAAUUGUAGACAUAAUGGUCACUGUUAUUGCAGGCCUUUUAGAAUUUGUGCUUUAUGACCAAUUUGAACAUUUCGUAGACUUGCAUUCAGCAACAGAUAAUCCCCAUCAAUAGUGGGGUUGAGGCGUACUGUUUGGGAAAGCCCAUCCCAUGUUAAUAGUUUAAAGGCUUCUUGCAGACCAGGGUUGGCCGCAUGUGGUCUCGUUGGGCAGGGGGCUUGCCUUGGAGGAGAUUGGCCAUUAGUUUCCGCUUCCUUUGACUCUGUAGCGCACGGGAAUGAGUAGAAUCUCGCUGAAUAGGCAUCUGUAGUCUACGCAAGCAGGGCUGCUGUGUAGUACUAGUAGCCUAGUAGGCGCAGCAGCGAGACAAGCAGGGGAGCAGAGCCGUCGCUGGCGUAUACAGUGGAUUUACAAUAGACGAACGCGUUGAACGGCGGCGCUUGAACCAGAGGAAUAGCGUUGACCGUUCUGAAAUGGCAGCGGAAUCGACCCGGAGAUUCACGAAGAACCUGCUCAAGCCCGGGAGUGCGGCGGAGAUAAGGCAGACGGCAUCCAAUGCUGUCAGACAUUCGGCAAUGACGGUGAGUCAGUGGGGAAAAACAAAGGUUACGACUGCGCCUUCUUCAGUAAUGCUGAGUAGGCCUAUGUUAUAGAGCUCGAUGUGUAGGGUUCCCCCCUGUACCCUACAAUGAAGCCUAGAGCCACCCAUUGACUGUUGGAGAUGCAAGCCGCACCAUUGCACCCUGAUCCUGACGCGAUUUGGGUUUAAUGAACACGGCUGGUACAUUUGAAUUGUGAUAUCAACUGUCAUAUGUCUGCAUGUUUGCGGUGAAGGGAAGUUAGUCUUGACGCUGCAAGAGACUGUUGCAUUCAUGUAACGGAUUUCCUUAAAUGGGCUACGAUGUUGCAUUUGAUGAGGAUAUGGGUCGUGAACGCUUAUCCUUAAUAACGUUGCCCGCCUCAAGGUUUUAAAUGUGUCGAAAUGUGCUGCUCAAAUCAAAGCAGCCGCGUUAUUCUCUAGUGAUUUUUUCGGUAUUUUACAUGCUGCCUCGUUAAAAUAAAUAAAUAACGGACCUGCUUGUAGCAACAGUCCUGGGCUUUCCGCGGGAAAUGCCCUCCUGCCUCGGAGCCGAGGAUGCUGAAUGACGUAGGCAGUAGUAACAUCAGCCCAGUUGUGUGUGUGUGUGUGUGUGUGUGUGUGUGUGUGUGUGUGGAGAGAAAAAAAAAACCAGCGGUGCGAUGGGGUGAGACAACGUAGUUUACUUUACCCCACCCAUUCACACAUUUCAGGAUGGAUUGGCAUUUAAUUAAGAUAAAUUGGCUCUGGAAGAUGUGUGUGUUGUACCUACCAGUGGAGACUCCUCAGAGUAGGAAGGGGAGGACCAUCCUCCUCAGUGAAUUUCAUAAAAAUAGUGAAAUAUACUCUAAAACUACUAAAUCUAUUAAUAUUUCACCCCAAAAUGUAUUAGAACACACUGUUUUGCGAUGAAUGUCUACAGUAGCCUCAACGGCACGCUCAGGGGUAGCACCAUGGUGUAGCCAGAGGACAGCUAGUUUCCGUUCUCCUCUGGGUACAUUGACUUCAAUACAAAACCUAGGAGGCACAUGGUUCUCACCCCCUUCCAUAGACUUACACAGUAAUUAUCAUGACAACUUCCGGAGGACGUCCUCCAACCUAUUAGAGCUCUUGCAGCAUGAACUGACAUGUUGUCCACCCAAUCAAAGGAACAGAGAAUGAAUCUAGUACUGAAAGCAUAAGCUACAGCUAGCUAGCACUGCAGUGGUAUACAAUGUGGUGAGCAGUUGACUCAAAGAGAAUAUCAAUUGUUGAACAGUUUUGAACAAAUUAAUUUCUUCAACUAUGAAGGAGAAGCGAGAGAGAGAUAUAUUUUGUUGUAUUUUUUUCACUUGCACUUACUUAGCUAGCGAACGCAGCAAACAACUGGCUCAAACAGAGAGGGAUGCUAUGUUAGCUAGUUGGCUAUCCAACACGGGAACUCUUCCAAGUUAAGGCAAGCUUUUGGUUUUAUUAAGUUAUUGCCAACGCGGCCGGCCGGUGUAACUGCUUACUGUACUGCAUGACUACAUGAUUGUUUGCUAACGAGUUAGUAGCUAUGUUGACUAUGACAUUAGUAAAUAUGGUGACAACAAUGUAGGCUGUGUGUAGCGGAUAGUGGUUAUGGCAUGAAGGUUUGGCUUGGAAAUGAUUUUUUUGGCCUGGUCACAGUCCACAAG
rnacentral:lncRNA from 8 species